CCUACGGGAGGCAGCAGUGGGGAAUAUUGCACAAUGGGGGAAACCCUGAUGCAGCGACGCCGCGUGAGUGAAGAAGUAAUUCGUUAUGUAAAGCUCCAUCAGUAGGGAAGAAAAUGACGGUACCUGAGUAAGAAGCCCCGGCUAACUACGUGCCAGCAGCCGCGGUAAUACGUAGGGGGCAAGCGUUAUCCGGAUUUACUGGGCGUAAAGGGAGCGUAGUCGGCAGUGCAAGUCUGUAGUGAAAGGCCGGGGCUCAACCCCCGGACUGCCCUGGAAACUGUACGGCUGGAGUGCAGGAGAGGUAAGUGGAAUUCCUGGUGUAGCGGUGAAAUGCGUAGAUAUUAGGAAGAACACCAGUUGCGAAGGCAGCUUACUAAACUAUAACUGACGUUGAGGCUCGAAAGCGUGGGGAGCAAACAGGAUUAGAUACCCCAGUAGUC
rnacentral:rRNA from 1 species